AACGAACGCUGGCGGCAUGCCUAACACAUGCAAGUCGAACGGGACCUUCGUGUCUAGUUGCGCACGGGUGCGGAACGCGUGGGAACCUUCCCGUAGGUUCCGAAUCACUCCCCGUAGGGGGUGCUAAUACCGGGUAAUGUAUUCGCACCAAAGAUUUAUCGCCGUUGGGUGGGCGCGGGUUGGAUUAGCUAGUUGGUAGGGUAAAAGCCGACCAAGGCGACGAUCCUUAGCUGGGCUGAGAGGAUGAUCCCCCACACUGGGAGUAGGACACGGCCCAGACUCGUAGGCGAGGGGGGAGAGUGGAAUACAGGGCAAUGGGGGAAGGUAUGACCACGCAAUGCCGCGUGAGUGAUGCAGGCGUUAGGGUAGUAAAGCUCUUUUACACGGGAUGAUAAUGACAGUACCGGGAGAAUAAGCACCGGCUAACUCCGUG
rnacentral:rRNA from 1 species